ensembl:lncRNA novel transcript
GAGUAGCUAGGACUACAGGCACCCGCCACAACGCCCAGCUUAUUUUUUUGUAUUUUUAGUAGAGACAGGGUUUCACUGUGUUAGCCAGGAUGGUCUCGAUCUCCUGACCUCGUGAUCCACCCGCCUCUGCCUCCCAAAGUGCUGGCAUUACGGGCGUGAGCCACCACGCCCUGCCUAGACCAACAUUUAUUUGAGAAGGGAAGCACCUGUUCUUCCCACGAAAGUGGCAGUAGGACAUCAACAGUGCACAGCUGAAUUGGGAUGAGGGGCCAAGACAAAGCAGAAAUCUGCUGCAGAGAGCAGGAAAGAUAAAGGAUAUUCUGCAGCAGGAUCUGGGCAAGUGGCACUCAUCCAUAUCCUUUGCAUUGCAAAGAGAGGAGCUACUUCCUUCCUUUUUAUUUUCCAGUUUAUUGGUGGCUCUUAGAACCUCUGAGAACUAACUGAUUUUGACCUCUUAACAGUUGCCUUUCAACUACCAUUCAUCCACUGCAAGCCUACUGUGUAACAGGCCCUUUUUAGCCAUUUCAGAUAUUAUUGUCUCUUGCCCAGCUUCAAGUGACUCUCUUAGGGAGGGAUUAGCCUCACCUCACUAGUAUGGAAAUGGAGACUUGGAGUAAUCAAGUGACUUGCUCUGAAUUACACAGCUGGGAAGUGGUGAAGCUGGAAUUCAACUCAAGUUAUGUCUAGAUCUAAAACUCAUGCUCUUUUCUAUGCUCAAAGCUGCAUUUCAAAAUUGAACUUUAGCAUGGAGUCUAUGAUGACUGGCUCAUGUCUCUCCACCCAGCACCUAGCCCAAGGCCAAGCACAGAGAAGGCUCACAGUGGACACUUUUGGAAUGAGUAGAUUUUGUAUGGAAUGGUUGGUAAAUGAAGGCCUGGGCAUGGUGUGAACAGUGUUAUGGGACAGCAGAGGAGGGGGUGGUGGCUGAUUAGGGGACAUGGGGAAGCCUCUGCAGAGGAACAGAAUUGAGUGAGGCCUGGAGAAAUAAGUAGUCAGACAAAGACGGACAAUUCAGCAUUCUCACAGCAAAGACCACUAACAGGCAAUUCACAGAACAAGAAACCCAAAGGCCGUGAAUAGGUGCUCUGCAUCACUAACAGUCAGAAAAAUGCAAAUUAUCUCAUGCACAGUAGAUGAGAAUACAAACUGGAAAAGUGUGUUAGGAGAGCUAUUUAAUAGCAUCUAUCGCUAUUAUGAGGUCGAGCACACUGAACUACCUGGAGUAAAGGGGCAUCAUGUCUGAAACUGAUGCUUAAGUGGCUCAGAAAAAAAAUUCUGGGAGCUAGAGGGAGAGAGAGACAGAGGAGUGUGGUAAAAAGUUAUCAUUUGGGGGGUCUGCGUAAAAGGUAUAUGAGGAUUCUUUGUACGGAUUUUGCAACUUUUCUCCCAGUCUGAAAUUAUGUCAAAAUAUAAAAUUAAAAGGCAAAAUUAAAAG